CCUACGGGAGGCAGCAGUGGGGAAUAUUGCACAAUGGGGGAAACCCUGAUGCAGCGACGCCGCGUGAGUGAAGACGUAUUUCGGUAUUUAAAGCUCUAUUAGCAGGGAAGAAAUAGCGACCUUUGGGUCGCCAGACGGUACCUGACUAAGAAGCCCCGGCUAACUACGUGCCAGCAGCCGCGGUAAUACGUAGGGGGCAAGCGUUAUCCGGAUUUACUGGGUGUAAAGGGAGCGUAGACGGCAGCACAAGUCUGAAGUGAAAUGCCGGGGCUUAACCCCGGAACUGCUUUGGAGACUGGGCAGCUAGAGUGCAGGAGAGGUAAGUGGAAUUCCUAGUGUAGCGGUGAAAUGAGGAGAUAUCAGGAGGAACACCAGGGGCGAAGGCGGCUUACUGGACUGUAACUGACGUUGAGGCUCGAAAGCGUGGGGAGCAAACAGGAUUAGAUACCCCUGUAGUC
rnacentral:rRNA from 1 species